rnacentral:rRNA from 1 species
GACGAACGCUGGCGGCGUGCCUAAUACAUGCAAGUCGAACGCAGUGGGGACGGGUGAGUAACACGUGGGUAACCUCCCAUCAGAGGGGAUAACCCUUGGAUACAGGUGCUAAACCGCUACUGAUGGAUGGACCCGCGGUGCAUUAGCUAGUUGGUGAGGUAACGGCCCACCAAGGCGAGGAUGAGUAGCGGGUCUGAGAGGAUGACCGGCCAAAUUGGAACUGAGACACGGCCCAGACUCCUACGGGAGGCAGCAGUGGGGAAUCUUCCGCAAUGGGCGAAAGCCUGAUCCAGCCAUGCCGCGUGUGUGAAGAAGGUCUUCGGAUUGUAAAGCACUUUAAGUGGGGAGGCGUUACCAACAGAAUAAGCACCGGCUAACUUCGUGCCAGCAGCCGCGGUAAUAC